rnacentral:rRNA from 1 species
UUGACCCCAUCCAUUGCAGCAGCCGUGGAGACUCUUCCCCAUGCAACAGAGGUAUGGAAAACCCUGGAAACAUUGUACUCCGGGAAAGGGAACAUAAUGCUUAUGGCGUAGAUUGAGGAUAGAGUAAAUGAGCUAAAACAAGGGGAUAAGUCGGUGAUGGAGUAUGUAGCAGAAUUGCAGCAUUUGUGGGCUGACUUAGACCACUAUGAUCCACUGGAGUUACCA